rnacentral:rRNA from 1 species
AUUGAGCGCUGGCGGCAUGCCUUACACAUGCAAGUCGAACGGCAGCACGGGAGCAAUCCUGGUGGCGAGUGGCGAACGGGUGAGUAAAGUAUCGGAACGUGCCCAGUCGUGGGGGAUAACGUAGCGAAAGUUACGCUAAUACCGCAUACGAUCUAUGGAUGAAAGCGGGGGAUCGCAAGACCUCGCGCGAUUGGAGCGGCCGAUAUCAGAUUAGGUAGUUGGUGGGGUAAAGGCUCACCAAGCCGACGAUCUGUAGCUGGUCUGAGAGGACGACCAGCCACACUGGGACUGAGACACGGCCCAGACUCCUACGGGAGGCAGCAGUGGGGAAUUUUGGACAAUGGGCGCAAGCCUGAUCCAGCCAUGCCGCGUGCAGGAUGAAGGCCUUCGGGUUGUAAACUGCUUUUGUACGGAACGAAAAGGUUUGACUUAAUACGUUGGACUCAUGACGGUACCGUAAGAAUAAGCACCGGCUAACUACGUGCCAGCAGCCGCGGUAA